rnacentral:rRNA from 1 species
UACGUAGGGUGCAAGCGUUGUCCGGAAUUAUUGGGCGUAAAGAGCUCGUAGGCGGUUUUGUUGCGUCGGCUGUGAAAUCCCGAGGCUCAACCUCGGGUCUGCAGUCGAUACGAGCAAACUAGAGUGUUGCAGGGGGAGACUGGAAUUCCUGGUGUAGCGGUGAAAUGCGCAGAUAUCAGGAGGAACACCGGUGGCGAAGGCGGGUCUCUGGGCAACAACUGACGCUGGAGGAGCGAAAGCCGUGGGGAGCGAACAGG